GAUGAACGCUGGCGGCGUGCCUAAUACAUGCAAGUCGAGCGAACGGACGAGGAGCUUGCUCCUCUGACGUUAGCGGCGGACGGGUGAGUAACACGUGGAUAACCUACCUAUAAGACUGGGAUAACUUCGGGAAACCGGAGCUAAUACCGGAUAAUAUUUUGAACCGCAUGGUUCAAAAGUGAAAGACGGUCUUGCUGUCACUUAUAGAUGGAUCCGCGCUGCAUUAGCUAGUUGGUAAGGUAACGGCUUACCAAGGCAACGAUGCGUAGCCGACCUGAGAGGGUGAUCGGCCACACUGGAACUGAGACACGGUCCAGACUCCUACGGGAGGCAGCAGUAGGGAAUCUUCCGCAAUGGGCGAAAGCCUGACGGAGCAACGCCGCGUGAGUGAUGAAGGUCUUCGGAUCGUAAAACUCUGUUAUUAGGGAAGAACAUAUGUGUAAGUAACUGUGCACAUCUUGACGGUACCUAAUCAGAAAGCCACGGCUAACUACGUG
rnacentral:rRNA from 1 species